AUUGAACGCUGGCGGCAUGCUUUAAACAUUCAAGUAGAACGGUAACAGGUUAAGCUGACGAGUGGCGAACGGGUGAGUAAUGCAUCGGAACGUGCCCAGUCGUGGGGGAUAACGCAGCGAAAGCUGCGCUAAUACCGCAUACGAUCUGAGGAUGAAAGCGGGGGACUGUAAGGCCUCGCGCCAUCGGAGCGGCCGAUGUCAGAUUAGAGAGUUGGUGGGGUAAAGGCUCACCAAGCCAACGAUCUGUAGCUGGUCUGAGAGGACGACCAGCCACACUGGGACUGAGACACGGCCCAGACUCCUACGGGAGGCAGCAGUGGGGAAUUUUGGACAAUGGGCGAAAGCCUGAUCCAGCAAUGCCGCGUGCAGGAAGAAGGCCUUCGGGUUGUAAACUGCUUUUGUACGGAGCGAAAAGGUCUCCUCUAAUACAGGGGGCUCAUGACGGUACCGUAAGAAUAAGCACCGGCUAACUACGUGCCAGCAGCCGCAGUAA
rnacentral:rRNA from 1 species